GGGUUGUGAGGUUAAGCGACUAAGCGUACACGGUGGAUGCCCUGGCAGUCAGAGGCGAUGAAGGGCGUGCUAAUCUGCGAUAAGCGCCGGUAAGGUGAUAUGAACCGUUAUAACCGGCGAUACCCGAAUGGGGAAACCCAGUGUGACUCGUCACACUAUCAUUAACUGAAUCCAUAGGUUAA
rnacentral:rRNA from 2 species